CCUUGGGUGGUAUAAAUGGUUAAUGCAUUCGGCUGCUAACUGAAAGGUUGGAAGUUCAAGUCUACCCAGAGGU
rnacentral:tRNA from 1 species